rnacentral:rRNA from 1 species
CAGUAGGGAAUUUUCGGCAAUGGGGGAAACCCUGACCGAGCAAUGCCGCGUGAAUGAUGAAAUUCUUCGGAAUGUAAAAUUCUGUUGUGAGGGAAGAAAGGUAGUAUCAGGAAAUGGGUAUUACUUGACGGUACCUUACUAGAAAGCCCCGGCUAACUAUGUGCCAGCAGCCGCGGUAAUACAUAGGGGGCGAGCGUUAUCCGGAAUUAUUGGGCGUAAAGCGUGCGUAGGUGGCCGUUUAAGUCUGUCGUGAAAGCCCACAGCUUAACUGUGGAGGGUCGAUGGAAACUGGAUGGCUUGAAUCUAGGAGAGGUAAGUGGAAUUCCAUGUGUAGCGGUAAAAUGCUUAGAUAUAUGGAGGAACACCAGUGGCGAAGGCGGCUUACUGGUCUAGCAUUGACGCUGAGGCACGAAAGCGUAGGUAGCAAACAGGAUUAGAUACCCUGGUAGUCCACGCUGUAAACGAUGAGUACUAAGUGUCGGACGUAAGUUCGGUGCCGCAGUUAACGCAUUAAGUACUCCGCCUGGGGAGUACGUUCGCAAGAAUGAAACUCAAAGGAAUUGACGGGGACCCGCACAAGCGGUGGAGCAUGUGGUUUAAUUCGACGCAACGCGAAAAACCUUACCAGGCCUUGACAUCCCUAUGACCGCUCUAGAGAUAGAGUUUCCUCUUCGGAGGUAUAGGUGACAGGUGGUGCAUGGUUGUCGUCAGCUCGUGUCGUGAGAUGUUGGGUUAAGUCCCGCAACGAGCGCAACCCUUAUCAUUAGUUGCUAACAUUAAGUUGAGCACUCUAAUGAGACUGCCAGCGACAAGUUGGAGGAAGGUGGGGAUGACGUCAAAUCAUCAUGCCCCUUAUGAGCUGGGCUACACACGUGCUACAAUGGCCGGUACAAAGAGCAGCGAAAUUGUGAAAUGGAGCAAAUCUCAAAAAGCCGGUCUCAGUUCGGAUUGUAGUCUGCAACUCGACUACAUGAAGUUGGAAUCGCUAGUAAUCGUGGAUCAGCAUGCCACGGUGAAUACGUUCUCGAGUCUUGUACACACCGCCCGUCACACCAUGAGAGUUUGUAAUACCCGAAGCCGGUGGCUUAACCGCAAGGAGAGAGCCGUCUAAGGUAGGACAGAUGAUUGGGGUGAAGUCGUAACAAGGUAUCCCUACGAGAACGUGGGGAUG